ensembl:lincRNA
AUGGCUCUGUUAGGCAGAAGUGUCAGAGCUGGUUAUAGGAAAACCAGGCGGCACAUACAUGAUCCCAGACACCGAAGUAACCUCUGUCUCACUCCUCCACUUCCAGCAAGGGAUGGAAAACAAACUGAAACUGGCUCAAGUGAAGGCUCACUGGAAGGCUUACUGGAAAACUUACUGGAAGGAUGUGAGGAGAUGUUCGGGAAUCUAUUUGCAGAAAACAUGUUCAGCCCUGUCCACCACAGCCAGCUGGCUGAAGAGCUCAAAAGGCAAGAAAUCAGCAAGAGAGAGAUAUGAAGCAUGAGAAAUGAGCAAAAAACACCCAGCACAUCAUAAUCAUGGACAGUUUAGCAGUACAUGAAAAUAGAUGGUCCUCGCCCCAAGGGACUGCAGUAACCCUGAAUAAACAGGAUGUCUCUCACUUUUAGCAGUUCUUUCUGUGCUAGUAUUGGGGAAAUAUAUUUUUGGCUGCAUGCAAAAUGGUAAAAGACAUCUAUUAAGAAAAUGAAAACACUGCUUCUGUUUUAGACGAAGCUUUUGAAGGUUUAAGGAUCACCUAUUUAUUGACAAAAUUGUUUCCGUGGCUUAAAAAUAAAAUACAAACAAAUACUACAGGUAUUCUUGCCUUCUCAUUCUACUUAAAAUCACAUUUCCAAAGACUUUCUUCUCUACUUAAAAACAGGAAUUAAGAAAUACUCAAAAGAGAUCCUAGACAAAACUAACAUUUCAGCAACCAAAGAUAAAUCAUGCUUUUAGGGGAAGAUGCUAGGUUCUAGAAUCUCUCUGAACACCGUGUAGCACUAAGAAACUACAAUCACCGGCUGAGACCUUGAUCAAAUAAUGGCUAACAUAUAAGAUACUUAUUCUAGUCAGGCACACUUCUAAGAGCUGUAUAUCUGCUAAUUCAUUUAUUCUCCUAGGAUAUAAAGGAUCAGCAGAUCCUUCAGGCUCUGGUAUGUUCUGAGAUGAGUUAACCCAGAAAUUGUCAUCGAAAGACAGAUUCAGCAAAACGGAAACAGCCACCAUUUUAUGUAGAUGUCCCUGUGGCUUAGUGCUAGAGACCGGACAUUUGUGCCCUUAGGGGAAAAAUGAUGAGGUCAGAGCAGACUGGGAUCGAUCAGGUCUGGUGCUUUUAUUAUAGAUCCUGGAACCAAAGAUGAUCUUAUGGAAAGCCAGGUAGACAGUUCAGCUGAGGUAUUCAUCCAUAGAGACUGGCCAGAAAGGCACAGUUUGGGUUGAAAGUGUGGGCACAUGAGACCAAAGCAAGAGGGCUUGAAAAUGGGGUAGAUGCAGGAGACUGGAGAGAAGCCUCAGCCCCUGGGACAAAGUGGCAGGUGCUUUAUCCAGGGUGCUGGUGUCUGGAGCGCUUUGGGAGGACCCUGUGAAGGGCAUGGUGUCUCCAGCAAUGUUGGGUGUACCCUCCCAUAGUUCAGUGUUCCAGAAAAAGGAUGGGAAAAUUACAAGAAUAAUAGCAGGCAGAAGUUGUGCCAAAUUUCAUCCUAACACAAAAUGUGGUUAUAAACAAGGGUAAGGAGAGGGUUUUCAUCUCCUCCUUUAAUCCUGGAAAGCUCUGCUAGACUGUGAUUCAGUCUCUCUUUUUCUAGCAGUUCUGGGGUUGUGAUUCUUAAUAGUACCUCAACUAAUUUUUGGCAUCCUUAUUCUUGUGAUUACUAGGGAUUUUCAGUUGUUUAAACCCUACUUGGCUUUUUCUAAUGAGCACUAAUGCCAAGUUUUUAUCACUAAGCUCAUAGAUUUGUCAAAGAAAUGGUGAUACCAAGAAAUUCAUUGCAAGUUACUACCUGUAAUCCAUGUGUAGGGUGUUUGGUGUAUUGUGGUGUUCUUUAGUUUCUAAUUCCUUAUGUAGAUGUCUAAAAAAGUGUGACCUUUAUUUUUCUAUUAAGGACCAGAUAGUAGAUACUUCAGGCCCUUUGGGUAACACUCAACUCUGCCACGAUAGUGAGAAGCAGUCAUAGACAAAAACAUCUAAUAGGAGUGGCUGUGUGCAAUAAAAUCUUGUUCACAAAACAAGCAGUCGUAGGAUUUAAUAUGUGCUCCAUAACUGGUGAUUUUUGAUAUUAAUACAUAAACAAACAACCAGAAAAAUAAAUGUCAUACUAUCCAUGAGCAAUGUGGCUUUUUUGUUUUUGUUUUUGUUUUCUUUUUAACUUAGUCAAUUAAAAACAUUUUCUUUUUGGAGUCAGGGUUUCACUCCCAUCACCCAGGCUGGAGUGCAGUGGCACAAUCAUGAUUCACUGCAACCUUGACUUCCCAGGCUCAGGUGAUCCUCCCAUCUCAGCCUCCCAAUUAGCUGGGAGUACAGGUGUCCG